rnacentral:tRNA from 1 species
GCCGUUGUGGUGCAGUGGCAUAAGGAUGUGACUGUAACUCGAUGGUUGUGGGUUUGAUACCCACUCGAGGCA